AAGUGAAGUCAAUAUCCAGUCCAAUCGCAUAUCUCAGAGCUUGGGUCUGACAUAUGUUCUAUGAGCGUAUUCGCAUAUCCCUCUCUGCAAAUUGGAAUCUGUGUGCCCACCCUUUCUCUUCUUCCUCUGUCAACCGCCCUUCGUUUCUGUCUGCCAUUUCUCAUGCAUUGCAUUCUCUUCGAAGGUUUUCUUUCUAGGGGUAGGCUUAUAAUAUCUCUAUAUUAUUU
rnacentral:misc_RNA from 1 species